rnacentral:lncRNA from 1 species
CAGACGAGCCACCAGAAGGCCCUUUGCCAUGGAAAGCAGAUUGCCUCUCUGGUCUACCAAUCGGCUUUGGAGGCAAGGGGGAAGCAGGCACUCCACUGUUUGCAUUUGAGUCAUCACCCUUCAGGCUCAGUUCUGACAUAUUGUAAAGGUCUUUGACGUUUAAUGGAGGCGUUGAGUGCACGGCCACAGGCUUGACUACCUGAUGUGGAGCUUGUGCUGCACCUGGUGGCCCAUAGUAAAAAGGAACAUAACCGUAGCAGGGUACUGGAACAAAUGCUGGGUGGUAGUAUGGAGGAGGAAUCAUCAUUGGAUAAAGAUAGGGUGGCAUGGCUUCUGGCAUAACCACCCCUGUUUCUCCAGCACUUGAACUUGAGGGAACUGAGUCCUGUUCC